rnacentral:lncRNA from 1 species
CCAGGUGUGCUCAGGCGUGCCCAGCAGUGCCCAGGUAUGCCCAGGUGUGCUCAGGUGUGCCCCAGGUGUGCUCAGGUAUUCCCAGGUGAGUCCAGGUAUGCCCAGGUGUGCCCAGCAGUGCUCAGGAAUGCCCAGGUGUGUCCAGGUGUGCCCAGAUGUGGUCAGUUGUGCCCCAGGUGUGCCCAGGUAUGCCCAAGAGUGCUCAAGUGUCUCCAGGUGUGCUCAGGUAUGCCCAGGUGUGUCCAGCAGUGCUCAGGUGUGCCCAGGUAUACCCAGGUGUGCUUAGGCGUGCCCAGGUGUGCCCAGGUGUGCCCAGGUAUGCCCAGGUGUGCUCAGGAGUGCCCAGGAUGUGCCCAGGUGUGCCCAGCAGUGCUCAGGUGUGCCCAGGUGUGCUCAGAUGUGCCCAGCAGUGGUCAGGUGUGCCACGGUGUGCUCAGGCGUGCCCAGGUGUGCUCUGGUGUGCCCAGGUGUGCCAUGGUGUGCCCAGGUGUGCCAUGGUGUGCCCAGGUGUGCCCCAGGUGUGCCCAGGUAACAGCGGUGCCAUCGGUGCUCUGGUGCAGCCCCGCCCACUGCCUCCAGAUUGGCUGCUGGCUCGCUGGCCCCGCCCCCGCCAGGGUUCUCCCAGCAAUGGCAAUGCUUCCUCAUUAGCAUAAACCGUCUUCCUCAUUAGCAUAAACCCUGCUUCCUCAUUAGCAUAAACCCGGCUUCCUCAUUAGCAUAAACCCCACCCAUGCACCUUGAUCCCGCCCCCUUUGGGAUCCAGGGGCUCCCCUCCCCCAUGGGCCUUGUGCCCCAAAAAUGUCGGGGUCCCACCCCACAAAUUUUGGGGUCCUGACCCCACAAGUGUUGGGGUCCUGCCCCACAAAUUUUGGGGUC